rnacentral:rRNA from 1 species
AGAGUUUGAUCCUGGCUCAGGACGAACGCUGGCGGUAUGCUUAACACAUGCAAGUCGAACGAGAAAGUUUUGAAUGAUCCUUCGGGUGAAAUUAGAACUGGAAAGUGGCGAACGGGUGAGUAACGCGUGGGUAACCUGCCCUAUGGAAAGGAAUAGCCUCGGGAAACUGGGAGUAAAGCCUUAUAUUAUGGUUUUGUCGCAUGGCAAGAUCAUGAAAACUCCGGUGCCAUAGGAUGGACCCGCGUCCCAUUAGCUAGUUGGUGAGAUAACAGCCCACCAAGGCGACGAUGGGUAACCGGUCUGAGAGGGCGAACGGUCACACUGGAACUGAGACACGGUCCAGACUCCUACGGGAGGCAGCAGUGGGGAAUAUUGCGCAAUGGGGGCAACCCUGACGCAGCAAUACCGCGUGAGUGAAGAAGGUUUUCGGAUCGUAAAGCUCUGUUAUUGGGGAAGAAAACAUGACGGUACCCAAUGAGGAAGUCCCGGCUAACUACGUGCCAGCAGCCGCGGUAAUACGUAGGGGACAAGCGUUGUCCGGAAUGACUGGGCGUAAAGGGCGCGUAGGCGGUCUAUUAAGUCUGAUGUGAAAGGUACCGGCUCAACCGGUGAAGUGCAUUGGAAACUGGUAGACUUGAGUAUUGGAGAGGCAAGUGGAAUUCCUAGUGUAGCGGUGAAAUGCGUAGAUAUUAGGAGGAACACCAGUGGCGAAGGCGGCUUACUGGACUGUCACUGACACUGAUGCACGAAAGCGUGGGGAGCAAACAGGAUUAGAUACCCUGGUAGUCCACGCCGU